rnacentral:tRNA from 1 species
GCCGGGAUAGCUCAGUUGGUAGAGCAGGGGACUGAAAAUCCUCGUGUCACCAUYCMAAAUA